ACAGUGAAGCAUUCCGCGAUCACCCUUGAUCUUCGACUGAUUUGAAAUGGCCAAAGCAACAAGUUUGGGAAUCCUCUAUGGGCUACAAAUCACCGCGGAAACUUGGCCCGCAAUGUGCUUUUUAAAAGGGCACUACUAUGAACGUAUACACAUACGUAGGGUGUGACAAAUAUUGUAUUGAGUGACAAAUCCAGCACCAACCGUUGACGGCCGUUGAAAUAAUUGUGGCGGGCGAAGACUUCAGACUAGCCAAGGAAUCUACAGAAGUCAAGGGAGGUUGCCCUGGAAGAAUCCUGAUCCAAAGAACGUGGCCCUCCCUGAACUGACUCACCGGCGGUUAGGGAUCGCCUCGGGGCAGAUGGUGACUCCUUAGUGUAGUUGAAAAGUAAGUUUCUAAAAUACAGAUAAAGUUUCGGCGGCGAAGCAGACUGGCUUCACGAAAUAAUUAUUUUCCUGACUUCCAAUGCAAUAUUGCCCGGCGCCCUAUUGCGCCAUAUUCCUAAUCCUCUCCCGACUUGGGCUAUUAGACAUAACCCGGGCCAUUUAAGAGUAAUUCCGGAGCGAUCUGGGAUAAUCCAAACGGCCAGAUCGCUCAACAGGAUUCCCAAAGGGGCGGGCCACCCAAAAUCAUCACCCUAUCGCUGUAUCGAUAGAUAAGGCCUUAUCAUCGACUCCAACUGCAACAUACUAAUACUUUUUAAAAUACUUAAGCCAUAAUCAUUUUUAGACUAAUGCUAUUUUUUGCUGUUAGGGUAUGUAAAAUUAUACCCGCUAAUCGUAGAUUAAAAGGUUAUACUAGAUUCGUUGGAAAUUAUGUAUGCAGGUGGAAG
rnacentral:sRNA from 1 species